UACGUAGGGUGCAAGCGUUGUCCGGAAUUAUUGGGCGUAAAGAGCUCGUAGGCGGUUUGUCGCGUCUGCUGUGAAAACUCGGGGCUUAACCCCGGGCCUGCAGUGGGUACGGGCAGACUAGAGUGCGGUAGGGGAGACUGGAAUUCCCGGUGUAGUGGUGAAAUGCGUAGAUAUCGGGAGGAACACCAGUGGCGAAAGCGGCUACCUGGCCCAUUCUUGACGCUGAGGCGCGAAAGCUAGGGGAGCAAACAGG
rnacentral:rRNA from 1 species